UACGGAGGAUGCAAGCGUUAUCCGGAUUUAUUGGGCGUAAAGCGUCCGCAGGUGGUUUUCCAAGUCUGCUGUUAAAGCGCGAGGCUUAACCUCGUACAGGCAGUGGAAACUGGAUGACUAGAGUAUGGUAGGGGUAGCGGGAAUUCCCAGUGUAGCGGUGAAAUGCGUAGAUAUUGGGAAGAACACCAGCGGCGAAAGCGACUUCCUGGACCAAUACUGACGCUCAUGUGCGAAAGCGUGGGGAGCAAACAGG
rnacentral:rRNA from 1 species